ACCCAUGUUUCCUCGGCAGGCUUGCCUGCCGGUUGGACAAUUCUAUAACCUUUUUAAUUUUCAAUCAGCGUCUGAAAAACUUAAUAAUUACAACUUUCAACAACGGAUCUCUUGGUUCUGGCAUCGAUGAAGAACGCAGCGAAAAUGCGAUAAGUAGUGUGAAUUGCAGAAUUCAGUGAAUCAUCGAAUCUUUGAACGCACAUUGCGCCCCUUGGUAUUCCAUGGGGCAUGCCUGUUCGAGCGUCAUUUGUACCUUCAAGCUUUGCUUGGUGUUGGGUGUUUGUCCUCUCCCUAGUGUUUGGACUCGCCUUAAAACAAUUGGCAGCCAGUGUUUUGGUAUUGAAGCGCAGCACAAGUCGCGAUUCUAACCCAAUAACACUUGCGUCCAGAAGUCUUUUUUCACUUUUGACCUCGGAUCAGGUAGGGAUACCCGCUGAAC
rnacentral:rRNA from 1 species